CACACCAUUCACGCAUGCAGGAACACAUGCACACAUGCAGAAAAUGCAAGCUGCAGCAAAGACCAAUCACACAUGCAGACCGAAAGCAGCAGCAGGGGGCAAGCAGUUGUUUUUCUUGACUUUUACUUUCAUUCUUCUUGCUUCUGCACAUGGAAGGUCAAACUCUGCAUGCUUGAACAAAUCACGUUAAUCAGGACAGCAAGAAAUCACAUGGGAUAGCUGGACCGAAAGCAGCAGCAGGGGGCAAGCAGCUGUUUUUCUUGACUUUUACUUUCAUUCUUCUUGCUUUCGGUUUGGCAGCAGCUGAAACAGCAGGCCCUCAGCACAUGGAUAUGCGCUGGAUCGUGAAAGACGCUGGGAAAAGUCUUUAUUUAUCAUUUCUUUUGUGAGGAAUUCGGGUACAGAGAGGAAGAAAUGAUUGAGCAUUAGUCAGCAUAUUUUCACAGAUCCUCGGAACCAAGUCUGGUUUGGUAAGAAUUUUGGGAUGUUCUUUCAAGCGUCUCGGUUCAUCCUCGACGACCUUGAGUUCAAAAGUUAAUAAUCUUACUAAGGAUUUGGAUGCCACACUCCAAGAAAUCGAGCAGAUGAAGUUGAGACAACAGGAGUUGGAGGCUCUCUUAUCGCGACAGUCUGAUUUAGAGACGGGUUUGCAGGAGCGACAAGGAGACCAGAAGGAAAGAAUUUGCUAAGAAGUUCAAGAAUAAGUACAGAGAGAGAUGUAGGUCCAGACGGAACAUGUUAUGUCAAUGUAGCAGGAUUGUAGUCGGCGAGGAAAGAAGAAGAAAUAAAUCCUAUCAGAUGUUCAAAACUUUUGUACUCUAAUUUUGUAACGCUUUAAAAUAUUUUCAUCAUAUUGUGAUGUAAUAUAAUACGAUUUGCAUGGGAAUUAAUUUUAUGAAA